UUGCAUUAGAAUUAGAAUCUAACUACACUAAAAUCACUCCCUCUAAUAUACUUUUAACAAUA
rnacentral:tRNA from 1 species